CACCGCGGUUAGACGAGCGGCCCAAGUUGACAAGCCCCGGCGUAAAAUGUGGGCCCUGAUCCCCCCCCCUAAAGCUAAACACCCCCUCUGCUGUCAAAAGCCCCCUAGGGACGGAAACCCAUCUACGAAAGUGGCUUUAAACAUCACCCCCACAAAAGCUAAGAAA
rnacentral:rRNA from 1 species